UACGUAUGGUGCAAGCGUUAAUCGGAAUUACUGGGCGUAAAGCGUGCGCAGGCGGUUUUGUAAGUCUGUCGUGAAAGCCCCGGGCUCAACCUGGUAAUUGCGUUGGAGACUGCAAGGCUAGAAUCUGGCAGAGGGGGGUAGAAUUCCACGUGUAGCAGUGAAAUGCGUAGAGAUGUGGAGGAACACCGAUGGCGAAGGCAGCCCCCUGGGUCAAGAUUGACGCUCAUGCACGAAAGCGUGGGGAGCAAACAGG
rnacentral:rRNA from 1 species